rnacentral:rRNA from 1 species
AACUGGGGAAAUACCGGAUAACGCAUAUCUGCUGGAAUGCUUUAUGCGUAAAAUGGAUUUGUCUGCCCAAGGAUGGGUCUGCGGCCUAUCAGGUAGUAGUGGGUGUAAUGUACCUACUAGCCUACGACGGGUACGGGUUGUGAGAGCAAGAGCCCGGAGAUGGAUUCUGAGACAUGAAUCCAGGCCCUACGGGGCGCAGCAGGCGCGAAAACUUUACAAUGCGGGAAACCGUGAUAAGGGGACACCGAGUGCCAGCAUCAUAUGUUGGCUGUCCAGAUGUGUAAAAUACAUCUGUUAGCAAGGGCCGGGCAAGACCGGUGCCAGCAGCCGCGGUAA